AAAAUACCCAACUGUUUACCAAAAACAUAACUGUAUGAGAUAUUAUACAGCUUUUUCUGCUCCAUGACACGUUAAAUAGCCGCAGUACCCUGACUGUGCAAAGGUAGCAUAAUCAAUUGGCUUCUAAUUAAAGUCUGGCAUGAACGAACAUAUGGGUAAUGACUGUCUAAGGAAUGUUAAUAAGAAAUUAUCAAGUUGGUGCAAAUGCCAACAGACUUAAAAAAGACGAGAAGACCCUAGAAACUUAUAGUUGAUUUUGCUGGGGCGGCAGAAUUGCAUAUAACCAAUUUUAAUUUACGUGGAGCGAUGCAGAAAGAAAAAGUUACUCUAGGGAUAACAGCAUAAUUUUAAUAGUUUGUGACCUCGAUGUUGGACUAGGGACAUUACCCCCUAGAAGGGGGUAGUUAUGGCUCUGUUCGAGCUCUUAGCCCCUACAUGAUCUGAGUCAGACCGGCGCGAGCCA
rnacentral:rRNA from 1 species